rnacentral:tRNA from 1 species
CGGGGUGUAGCGCAGUUUGGUAGCGUGCUUGGUUCGGGACCAAGAGGCCCUGGGUUCAAGUCCCAGCACUCCGACCA